GGGGUUGUGGCUCAGUGGUAGAGCACUCGCCUAGCAUGUGUGAGGCCCUGGGUUCUAUCCUCAGCACCACA
rnacentral:tRNA from 1 species